AAAAAAAGUAUAAAUCGAUAAAAAUACUAGUGGUGGUCAGGUUAGUAAUGACAUUUAUUAAAGUGUUAACAUAAAACAUAAUUAAAUAAUAAUUGUCUUCUAUUAUUUUAUAAUGAUUUGUCCACAGUGUUUCUUCAGCCUGCAGCCCAAGAGACAUGUUCCAGCAUCGUCGGAAGCAGUUUAGAGAAUGGAUGGAUCAAUCACUCCAUCUGCUGUGGAACAGGACGCCUAGGCGGAGCUGGUGGAGCAGGAGGCCAGGGCAGAGCUGAGGACCACCACAACAGGGCAGACAGGAACAAAAAUCCCCACAGUGGAGCAGAAGACCACCAAUACAGCAUAGACCACCACGGCAGAGCAGGCGGGACCUAAGACCACCAAGGUGUAGUCGAGGACCACCAAGGUGGAGCAGGUGGAGCUGAUGACAACAACAGUGGAGCCAAAUGCCCCCAGGGCAGAUCUGGGCAGAACUAAAGAAUAACAUGGCUGAUCAGGCAAGAAGGCAGGCACCAGCGCAGGACUGAGCUCUGGGGUUUGAGCAGACUCUGGUGCAGAUUCAUGUACUAGAGUGGCCUCUAGAAUGGACUCAUGGACUGAAGCGGACGUCACUGCCU